UACGAAGGGGGCUAGCGUUGUUCGGAAUCACUGGGCGUAAAGGGCGCGUAGGCGGCCGUUCAAGUCGGGGGUGAAAGCCUGUGGCUCAACCACAGAAUUGCCUCGAUACUGGACGGCUCGAGACCGGAAGAGGUCAGUGGAACUGCGAGUGUAGAGGUGAAAUUCGUAGAUAUUCGCAAGAACACCAGUGGCGAAGGCGGCUGACUGGUCCGGUUCUGACGCUGAGGCGCGAAAGCGUGGGGAGCAAACAGG
rnacentral:rRNA from 1 species